rnacentral:rRNA from 1 species
CAGUCGCCGCGGUAAUACGUAGGGUGCGAGCGUUAAUCGGAAUUACUGGGCGUAAAGCGUGCGCAGGCGGUUGUGUAAGACAGGUGUGAAAUCCCCGGGCUUAACCUGGGAACUGCGCUUGCGGCUGCACAGCUAGAGUAUGGCAGAGGGGGGUGGAAUUCCACGUGUAGCAGUGAAAUGCGUAGAGAUGUGGAGGAACACCGAUGGCGAAGGCAGCCCCCUGGGCCAAUACUGACGCUCAUGCACGAAAGCGUGGGGAGCAAACAGGAUUAGAUACCCCUGUAGUCCCUGUCUCUUAUAC